AGCACCUAUUAUGGGAUACACGUUUUUAAACAUCCUUUUGUGUGUAAGUGUGCAUUAGUACAUGCUAACGAUAUUCAAAAAGUACAUACCUCAAAGAAAACGAUGACGCGAGUUAUCGUCUCUAACGUUCGAGGACUACAAAAAACACUCGGAUUGUAGGCAACAGUUUACUUCCUGGGAUUAGUGACGUAGAUAAGACCAACAUUAUCAUAGUUCAGCCCUCUCUGCUUUGCUUGGGUACGCCCUCAAAGACGAGGGUGGGGUGGGGAGCGCCGAGUCAGAAGAGAGCUAAAAUGGCGGAGGUUGGGAGUCCCUGCUUUGACUCUGUUUGCAAACUCUUGUUUCAUUGUUUAAGCGAUUAAAUCUCUCGAGUAGACGCUGUCUCUUUAGAUGCGAGGGCAAAAUAGCACUUUAUGGACUUCCACAGAGGACAUCAUGUUUAAUACGGUUCCGGAAAAAUCCAGUCAGAAGUUGUUCACGGAGUUUUCACAAUAACUGCUUCUCAUGAACCGAAGCUGGAUUUGCGCGACGUCUCCUCUUGAAAGUUGGAUUACUGUGCACUUCUGGAUCACAGACUAUUCGCAGCUGUACACAUCCUUCUACACUGUAUGCAAACAUGCAACAUCAUAACACACAGUACAAGGAGUCAGACUGGCAUAUGAGGAGCAAAGGAACCCACGCAGUAGCAUCGUUUCACAAUGUUUCCAUCAUCAUCAUCAGUGGAUGCCUUUGCCGUCCGUAGCCUGAGAUUUCAGAUUUGCAGCAAAAAAAAAUUGAUUUUCUCAUUUAUUGGAAUGCUGUGCAGGUAUUUGUACCUUGCAGCCAUCCAUUACAAUGUCACCAAGCCGUAACAAAAGCAGGAGAGGGAAAGUACAAGGCUAUGUUCCCAAAACACAAAUGACAUACCUUAUGUGGAUGAUGUGAUCAGGCUUGUGUUUGAUGAGGUAUUUGAAGAUAAGCUGAAGGAAACCCCGAUUCCAAUGGACCUGGCAUCACAGUUUGAGAGACCUUCAAAGGAGGACGUGAUUGCAUGCCAUCUUCAGUGCAGGGGUCGUCGAAAGCCAAAAUUGUGACCGAUCUGAUCAGGAAGCUCCAAGCGUAUCUGGAGAACAACACACGACAGGAUGAUAACCUUAUAGUGUCGUCUUAGAUAGCACCAGCUGACAAAGCUUUGAUAUGCCAUUUAUCUGAAUAGAUAGCUGUAAGAAAUGAAUUGAACAAUUUUUGAAACAAGAGCACAAUAUGGUUACUAAAGUAUGUUUAUUUGUAUAUUGUUUAACAUUUAAAUAUAUAUUUGUAAUAAAUAAAAAAAACUUUUGACUGACUAUUAUAUUUUCUUUAAAGUUGCAUCUUUUGUUCUUUUGGGUACUUUGUUACUAUAAUGAUACUUUAGUGUUAUUGGUUUAAAAAUGUAAUAAAACUUACUCUAGUCCUGCACCUCAAAGGCUUAUAGUCGGUACAAU